rnacentral:rRNA from 1 species
GACGAACGCUGUCGGCGUGCUUAACACAUGCAAGUCGAACGGAAAGGCCCUGCUUUUGUGGGGUGCUCGAGUGGCGAACGGGUGAGUAACACGUGAGUAACCUGCCCUUGACUUUGGGAUAACUUCAGGAAACUGGGGCUAAUACCGGAUAGGAGCUCCUGCUGCAUGGUGGGGGUUGGAAAGUUUCGGCGGUUGGGGAUGGACUCGCGGCUUAUCAGCUUGUUGGUGGGGUAGUGGCUUACCAAGGCUUUGACGGGUAGCCGGCCUGAGAGGGUGACCGGCCACAUUGGGACUGAGAUACGGCCCAGACUCCUACGGGAGGCAGCAGUGGGGAAUAUUGCACAAUGGGCGGAAGCCUGAUGCAGCAACGCCGCGUGCGGGAUGACGGCCUUCGGGUUGUAAACCGCUUUCGCCUGUGACGAAGCGUGAGUGACGGUAAUGGGUAAAGAAGCACCGGCUAACUACGUGCCAGCAGCCGCGGUGAUACGUAGGGUGCGAGCGUUGUCCGGAUUUAUUGGGCGUAAAGGGCUCGUAGGUGGUUGAUCGCGUCGGAAGUGUAAUCUUGCUGCUUAACCCUGAGCGUGCUUUCGAUACGGGGUGACUUGAGGAAGGUAGGGGAGAAUGGAAUUCUGGUGGAGCGGUGGAAUGCGCAGAUAUCAGGAGGAACACCAGUGGCGAAGGCGGUUCUCUGGGCCUUUCCUGACGCUGAGGAGCGAAAGCGUGGGGAGCGAACAGGCUUAGAUACCCUGGUAGUCCACGCUGUAAACGGUGGGUACUAGGUGUGGGGUCCAUUCCACGGGUUCCGUGCCGUAGCUAACGCUUUAAGUACCCCGCCUGGGGAGUACGGCCGCAAGGCUAAAACUCAAAGGAAUUGACGGGGCCCCGCACAAGCGGCGGAGCAUGCGGAUUAAUUCGAUGCAACGCGUAGAACCUUACCUGGGUUUGACAUGGAUCGGGAGUGCUCAGAGAUGGGUGUGCCUCUUUUGGGGUCGGUUCACAGGUGGUGCAUGGCUGUCGUCAGCUCGUGUCGUGAGAUGUUGGGUUAAGUCCCGCAACGAGCGCAACCCUUGUUCACUGUUGCCAGCACGUUAUGGUGGGGACUCAGUGGAGACCGCCGGGGUCAACUCGGAGGAAGGUGGGGAUGACGUCAAGUCAUCAUGCCCCUUAUGUCCAGGGCUUCACGCAUGCUACAAUGGCUGGUACAGAGAGUGGCGAGCCUGUGAGGGUGAGCGAAUCUCGGAAAGCCGGUCUCAGUUCGGAUUGGGGUCUGCAACUCGACCUCAUGAAGUCGGAGUCGCUAGUAAUCGCAGAUCAGCAACGCUGCGGUGAAUACGUUCCCGGG